UACGGAGGGGGCUAGCGUUGUUCGGAAUUACUGGGCGUAAAGCGCACGUAGGCGGCUUUGCAAGACAGAUGUGAAAUCCCCGGGCUUAACCUGGGAACUGCAUUUGUGACUGCAUGGCUGGAGUGCGGCAGAGGGGGAUGGAAUUCCGCGUGUAGCAGUGAAAUGCGUAGAUAUGCGGAGGAACACCGAUGGCGAAGGCAAUCCCCUGGGCCUGCACUGACGCUCAUGCACGAAAGCGUGGGGAGCAAACAGG
rnacentral:rRNA from 1 species